rnacentral:rRNA from 1 species
UACGGCCUACGGGGCGCAGCAGUGGGGAAUAUUGCACAAUGGGGGAAACCCUGAUGCAGCGACGCCGCGUGAGUGAAGAAGUAUUUCGGUAUGUAAAGCUCUAUCAGCAGGGAAGAAAAUGACGGUACCUGACUAAGAAGCCCCGGCUAACUACGUGCCAGCAGCCGCGGUAAUACGUAGGGGGCAAGCGUUAUCCGGAUUUACUGGGUGUAAAGGGAGCGUAGACGGCGCGGCAAGUCUGAAGUGAAAGGCAGGGGCUUAACCCCUGAACUGCUUUGGUAAUUGCCAUGCUAG